rfam:Rattus norvegicus chromosome 5, whole genome shotgun sequence.
GGGGAUUUAGCUCAGUGGUAGAGUGCUUGCCUAGGAAGCGUAAGGCCCUGGGUUCGGUCCCCAGCUCCG